GGGCAGAUACCGAAGCGGCCAAACGGGGCAGACUGUAAAUCUGCUGGGUAACACCUUCGCUGGUUCGAAUCCAGCUCUGCCCA
rnacentral:tRNA from 1 species